rnacentral:rRNA from 1 species
AUGGCGGAGCUUUUGGCUUCUUGGGCCGCCGAGGAGCGGUGGAUGUACCCGGCCUUCCUGGCCAUGUACGCCGUCAUCUACUGUGUCGGGCAACUGGUCUUGUUCCGGCGCUGGGAGUGGAGGCACCGGCUGGACGGCGCUAGCUGCCUCAUCUCACUCGCGCACGGCUCCGCUGCCGCGCUGGCGGCGGUCGCAGCCAUCGCCGCGCAGCCGGCGGGGAACCGGGGUUUCGCUGCUCCUAAUUCCCGCAUGCAGGACCACGUCCUCGACUACAGUGUCGCCUACUUCACCAUGGACCUGCUCCACUAUCUCGCCUUCCUCCCCGGGGACAUCCUCUUCAUCGCCCACCACCUCGCCACACUUUUUGUCUUCUUCACCUGUCGCUACGUCGUCCACCAUGGCGCAUACGCACUCCUCGUCCUGCUCUUUCUCGCCGAGGUAACCAGCCUCCUGCAGAAUGUGUGGACACUCGCCGGGAUCUGGCGAGCCGAGGUUCCCACUGCUGCAAGGGUGUACAACACUUUGUCGCCGCCGUUCUAUGUGCUAUACACCAUAGUCAGGGGCGUCGCGGGACCGGUCUUCUUCCUCAAGAUGAGCCUAUUCUAUCUGUCCGGCCAGGCCGUGGAUCUCAUCCCCUGGUGGGUGCGCAUAUCCUGGAUCAUUGUCGUCGGCGCUGCUAUCACGACUUCCCAGAGCUGCACAGCCCAUGCCGCGAAGAUGAUGUGCCAACGUCAGGCUUGGCAGUCUGCAGAAAAGAAAGAAUAUAAAUAG